rnacentral:misc_RNA from 1 species
GAUGAAGAACGUAGCGAAAUGCGAUAAGUAAUGUGAAUUGCAGAAUUCAGUGAAUCAUCGAAUCUUUGAACGCACCUUGCACCCUUUGGUAUUCCGAAGGGUAUGCUCGUUUGAGUGUCAUUGUACUCUCACACUUCUAAUUCCUUUCGGGAUUGGGAGCGGUGGACUUGGGUGUUGCUGCUUUAGUUGUGGCUCACCUCAAAUAAGUUAGUGCAACUCUUGGUUGGACAUAGUACGGCGUGAUAAGUGUCUUCGCCGGCGCCUCUGUAAGGAGGGUGGCCGAUCGGGAGCUCUGUGCUUCAAACCGUCUUCGGACAAUCUUUGACAACUUGGCCUCAAAUCGAGUAGGACUACCCGCUGAACUUAAGCAUAUCAAUAAGCGGAGGA